rnacentral:rRNA from 1 species
UACGGGGGGGCAAGCGUUGUUCGGAAUUACUGGGCGUAAAGGGCUCGUAGGCGGCCAACUAAGUCAGACGUGAAAUCCCUCGGCUUAACCGGGGAACUGCGUCUGAUACUGGAUGGCUAGAGAUUGGGAGAGGGAUGCGGAAUUCCAGGUGUAGCGGUGAAAUGCGUAGAUAUCUGGAGGAACACCGGUGGCGAAGGCGGGUCUCUGGGCCGACACUGACGCUGAGGAGCGAAAGCGUGGGGAGCGAACAGG